rnacentral:lncRNA from 1 species
GUGCAAAAGUAACAGUAGUAUGUAUUCAGUAGGUGUAACGAAGUAGUGCCCAGUAUUUCAAAAAAUUAUCAAUGGACAACGAUAGCCUAAAAUCAUCCGGCAUAUCUCUCGGCAGCAGCAGUAGUUUAAUCCAAGCUUCUCUUCACUAUCCAGCACUCCAAGCGGAAUCGGUUAUUCAAAUUUAUCCGGCUCUGUCUUGAGCAGUGAUCUACAAAGCCCACCUAUCGCGCAACCCUUCUCCUCUUACGUUGGAAACAACUUGAUCAGCGACUCAAACCAAAUUGGAAAUCAGUCAAUACUCAGCAGCAAUUCAAGCAUUCUGAGUCCAGGUUUAUUGACGGAUUCUGCAACAAAUAAUGUGAUUUUAUCUAGUCCCGGUGACCUUGUGACCCCUAUCAGUCUAGCAGAGCUGAAUGAUGGUCGCAACAAAGCCUUUAGUCUCAACCAAUCUUUAAGUGCACUUCUUUCUGUUACUUCUACUAAGAAAGAUGAACCAAGAAUCAAGCAGUACUCUAAAGAUGCCCUUGAAGCCCUCCGAUCGUCGAACAUCUCUUCAGAACCACCGCAGAACUGGGAGAGAAUUGCAGAGGAGUUCCCAUCGAUCGUUAAAACGAGAGGCACCGUCUCCUUACCGACGACACCCACCGCCGGUAACUUCUCACCCAGCGGUCUCUUCGCUUGCGCAUCCGUGCCCACCACACCCCCGGCAUACAACACAGCCAGUGCACCGACCGGACCCGUCCCGCUGCCAGUCACUCGUCCAGCGGUCACGACGACUGAUCCUCCGCAACCACGUCCUCCACACACGGUCAGUCCAGCCUCUGCGAGUCCACCCGUGCCGCAUCCAGCACGUGCAGCGCCCGAAGUCACCUCAGGAGUGGUCACUGCCGAUGUCUCUCCAUCAAUAUCAACCUCAGUGUCAACUGACAGUGUAUUGACCGCAUCCAAUAGGACACGUGAAUCUGCCGCCCCUCCGGCGAUUUCAACCACAGUAACGAACGAGUCAACUGACAGUGUAUUAACCGCAUCCAAUAGGACACGUGAAUCUUCAGUGACUCCAUCAAUUCGGGCUCCAGCCUCGAGAGGGCCGAAUGACGGUGUAACAACUUCAUCCGAUAGAACACGUGAAUCUGCCGCCCCUCCGGCAAUCUCAACCACAGUUACGAACGAGCCAACUGACAGUGCAUUGACCGCAUCCAAUAGGACACGUGAAUCUUUGGUGGCUCAAUCAGUUCGGGCUACAGCCUCGAGAGGGCCCACUGACGGUGUAUCAAGCACAUCCGACAGAACACGCGAAGUGGCAGUCCCUCCGGCAAUUUCAACCACAGCCACGAACGAGUCAACUGACAGUGCAUUGACCGCAUCCAAUAGGACACGUGAAUCUGCGGUAACUCCAGCAAAUACAACCUCGGCUGUAAAAGGAUCGAAUCCCAGUGUCAUAACUGAAUUUGAUAGGGCACGCGAAUCUUCAGCUACUUUGACCUCACCGAAGAAAGUGUCAACCGAUGAUGUCUCCGCAAGAACACGGGAAUCUACAAGUACUCCAGCAAUUUCAACCUCAGCCGUGAAAUUGUCAACUACCGGCGUGUCGACCGCACCCGCUAGGACACUUGAGUCUACGCAGGCUCCGAUUCUCGGAGGGAUAGCUCCAAGUAAACCUGUCACACUCUCAGUAUCUCCUGAAUUGGGUUCCGCCUCUAAUCCACCUUCUACCAUCGCUAAUGUAUCAAACUUACCUGUAACACACAGUUCUUCUGUCACACAACUUGUGUCACAUGGUUCCAGCGCUGAGCGCCGACCAUGGCACCCGCUCCUGAAUCUGGUGACCCUAGGGUGCCCUCCACAACUGUUUCCGGGAUGGUAUCCUCGUCAAGCCCUGCUGCAGCUUCAUCAGUGUCUCUUAUAACCAAAGCACGGGAUGUCGUUACUUCGACGGCUGCGAGUGCAAAGGAUCCUGGCACCGUAAGGAAGUCUGAAACAGAUUCUGUCACAACUUCACCCACAGGCGUGAAAGGUAAUCCUUCGGGCGAGACUGAGAAAACCAUGAGCGGAUCCAAAACGCCAAAGUAAUUUUUGUAUCGUCUUCCCAAGUAGCAUCUUUAACGGGAAAAUCGCGAUGUUUUAAAAUUAAGUUGCGAUUUUUUCACGAUUUUCUGGCGAUAAAACAGCUGGGAUCAUCAACAUCUGACCGAUUAUGUCGCAAUUUUAUCCCUAUAAAAUCGGACUUUAUCACGAUUUUUAGUUCGAUAAUAUUGCGACGUCAAUAAAAUCGCAAAAUUAUUGCAAAUUUUUGCGAUGAAAUAGCAAUUUAUUGCAAUUUUCAUCCGAUAAUAUUGCAAUAAAUUGACGUCGAUACAAUCGCUAUACAUUCUCCGAUCAAAUCGCACCUUAUCAUGAUCACUGCUACUUGGGCCUUAGCUUAAACUGAUCGAUCUCUGAUUACAAUUCGAUUGAUUGCAGUUAUUUUAAUCUUCACUCACCUCUACUCGUAGACCAUUAUUUCCGCUUAGUGAUCAGCACGCGAUCCUGCCUCUCUUCAAGCCCAAUUUAAUUUUUCCUUUAAAUACUCGUUUUCAUCCAGAAUUGAAGGAUUAUCUAUUUUCCUUCGUAUUCAUAUUUUGUACUUUUAUGAUAUUUAAUAGUCACUUACUCAUCAUAUUAAAUUCAAUGUUUUAUUCUCUA